UACGUAGGGUGCAAGCGUUAUCCGGAAUUUAUUGGGCGUAAAGAGCUCGUAGGCGGUUUGUCGCGUCUGCUGUGAAAACUGGAGGCUCAACCUCCAGCCUGCAGUGGGUACGGGCAGACUAGAGUGCGGUAGGGGAGAUUGGAAUUCCUGGUGUAGCGGUGGAAUGCGCAGAUAUCAGGAGGAACACCAAUGGCGAAGGCAGAUCUCUGGGCCGUAACUGACGCUGAGGAGCGAAAGCAUGGGGAGCGAACAGG
rnacentral:rRNA from 1 species